UUGGAAUAGAGGGUGGUGCUCUCUCACGAAGACCAAGUGGAAUCAGGACAUCUUGUGAGUACCUUGAUCCAGCAACAGGUGCUGCAUGGCUGUCGUCAGCUCGUGUCGUGAGAUGUUUGGUCAAGUCCUAUAACGAGCGAAACCCUCGUUUUGUGUUGCUGAGACAUGCGCCUAAGGAGAAAUUGUGGUACGUAGUGGUAAUAGUACGCGCCCCGCUCCGAAACAAAGAAAAAGGUGCGUGCCGCACUCACGAGGGACUGCCAGUGAGAUACUGGAGGAAGGUGGGGAUGACGUCAAGUCCGCAUGGCCCUUAUGGGCUGGGCCACACACGUGCUACAAUGGCAAUGACAAUGGGAAGCAAGGCUGUAAGGCGGAGCGAAUCCGGAAAGAUUGCCUCAGUUCGGAUUGUUCUCUGCAACUCGGGAACAUGAAGUUGAAAUCGCUAGUAAUCGCGGAUCAGCAUGCCGCGGU
rfam:Oryza sativa Indica Group scaffold002196 genomic scaffold, whole genome shotgun sequence.